rnacentral:rRNA from 1 species
GUGUUGGAGGGUUUCCGCCCGUUCACUGCUGCAGCUAACGCAUUAAGUAAUCCGCCUGGGGAGUACGACCGCAAGGUUGAAACUCAAAAGAAUUGACGGGGGCCCGCACAAGCGGUGGAGCAUGUGGUUUAAUUCGAAGCUACGCGAAGAACCUUACCAGGUCUUGACAUCUUCUGCCAACCUAAGAGAUUAGGCGUUCCCUUCGGGGACAGAAUGACAGGUGGUGCAUGGUUGUCGUCAGCUCGUGUCGUGAGAUGUUGGGUUAAGUCCCGCAACGAGCGCAACCCUUAUUACUAGUUGCCAGCAUUCAGUUGGGCACUCUAGUGAGACUGCCGGUGACAAACCGGAGGAAGGUGGGGACGACGUCAAAUCAUCAUGCCCCUUAUGACCUGGGCUACACACGUGCUACAAUGGAUGGUACAACGAGUCGCGAAACCGCGAGGUUUAGCUAAUCUCUUAAAACCAUUCUCAGUUCGGACUGUAGGCUGCAACUCGCCUACACGAAGUCGGAAUCGCUAGUAAUCGCGGAUCAGCAUGCCGCGGUGAAUACGUUCCCGGGCCUUGUACACACCGCCCGUCACACCAUGAGAGUUUGUAACACCCAAAGCCGGUGGGGUAACCUUUUAGGAGCUAGCCGUCUAAGGUGGGACAGAUGAUUAGGGUGAAGUCGUAACGAGGGUAACCGGC